rnacentral:misc_RNA from 1 species
GAUGAAGAACGCAGCGAAAUGCGAUACGUAAUGUGAAUUGCAGAAUUCAGUGAAUCAUCGAGUCUUUGAACGCACAUUGCGCCCCCUGGUAUUCCGGGGGGCAUGCCUGUCCGAGCGUCAUUGCUGCCCUCAAGCACGGCUUGUGUGUUGGGCCCCGUCCUCCGAUCCCGGGGGACGGGCCCGAAAGGCAGCGGCGGCACCGCGUCCGGUCCUCGAGCAUAUGGGGCUUUGUCACCCGCUCUGUAGGCCCGGCCGGCGCUUGCCGAUCAACCCAAAUUUUUUAUCCAGGUUGACCUCGGAUCAGGUAGGGAUACCCGCUGAACUUAAGCAUAUCAAUAAGCGGAGGA